UACGGGGGGAGCAAGCGUUGUUCGGAUUUACUGGGCGUAAAGGGCGCGUAGGCGGUCAGCACAAGUCAGUUGUGAAAUCUCCGGGCUUAACUCGGAAAGGUCAACUGAUACUGUGCGACUAGAGUGCGGAAGGGGCAACUGGAAUUCUCGGUGUAGCGGUGAAAUGCGUAGAUAUCGAGAGGAACACCAGUGGCGAAGGCGACUCUUUGGUCUGUAACUGACGCUGAGGCGCGAAAGCGUGGGGAGCAAACAGG
rnacentral:rRNA from 1 species